GGGGGCGAAUGGGGCCCGGUGGCCUUCGCGGACUUCAAAUCCGGCGGUGGGUGCCCUACGGUAUCCACGGUGGGUUCGACUCCCACACGUCCCCGCCA
rnacentral:tRNA from 1 species